rnacentral:rRNA from 1 species
GAUGAACGCUAGCGGCGGGCUUAACACAUGCAAGUCGAGGGGUAACAGGGGAGCUUGCUCCCGCUGACGACCGGCGCACGGGUGAGUAACGCGUAUGCAACCUACCUUUAACUGGGGGAUAGCCCUGGGAAACUUGGAUUAAUACCCCAUAGUUUGCUUAGUUCGCAUGAACUGAGUAAUAAAGUUCCGGCGGUUAAAGAUGGGCAUGCGUGCCAUUAGAUAGUUGGUGAGGUAACGGCUCACCAAGUCAGCGAUGGCUACGGGGUCUUAAAGGAUGGUCCCGCACACUGGUACUGANACACGGACCAGACUCCUACGGGAGGCAGCAGUGAGGAAUAUUGGUCAAUGGACGAAAGUCUGAACCAGCCAUGCCGCGUGCAGGAAGACGGCCCUAUGGGUUGUAAACUGC